rnacentral:rRNA from 1 species
AUUGAACGCUGGCGGCAUGCCUUACACAUGCAAGUCGAACGGUAACAGGUCUUCGGAUGCUGACGAGUGGCGAACGGGUGAGUAAUACAUCGGAACGUGCCUAGUAGUGGGGGAUAACUACUCGAAAGAGUGGCUAAUACCGCAUGAGAUCUACGGAUGAAAGCAGGGGAUCGCAAGACCUUGUGCUACUAGAGCGGCCGAUGGCAGAUUAGGUAGUUGGUGGGAUAAAAGCUUACCAAGCCGACGAUCUGUAGCUGGUCUGAGGGGACGAUCAGCCACACUGGGACUGAGACACGGCCCAGACUCCUACGGGAGGCAGCAGUGGGGAAUUUUGGACAAUGGGCGAAAGCCUGAUCCAGCAAUGCCGCGUGCAGGAUGAAGGCCUUCGGGCUGUAAACUGCUUUUGUACGGAACGAAAAGCCCCGGGUUAAUACCCUGGGGUCAUGACGGUACCGUAAGAAUAAGCACCGGCUAACUACGUGCCAGCCGCCGCCGUAA